rnacentral:misc_RNA from 1 species
GAUGAAGAACGUAGCGAAAUGCGAUACUUGGUGUGAAUUGCAGAAUCCCGUGAACCAUCGAGUCUUUGAACGCAAGUUGCGCCCGAAGCCAUUAGGCCGAGGGCACGCCUGCUUGGGCGCCACACGUCGUUGCCCCCCCAUCUACUCCUUCGGGAUUGCGGGGGGCGGAUGAUGGCUUCCCGUGCGCCUCGUCGCGCGGUUGGCAUAAAUGCCAAGUCCUCGGCGACGCACGCCACGACAAUCGGUGGUUGCGAAACCUCGGUUGCCCGUCGUGUGCGGUCGUCGCGCAUCGAGGGCUCGAAAAAAUUGCCGGGCUCCGGCUCGGCUUUCAACGCGACCCCAGGUCAGGCGGGGUUACCCGCUGAAUUUAAGCAUAUCAAUAAGCGGAGGA